AUGGUUAAUCGGCUUAGGCCACUGCUCUCAGAGUUGAUAUCGGAGAACCAAAGUGCUUUUAUCCCGGGCCGGCUUAUCUCGGAUAACUCUACCAUUGCCUUUGAGUGCAUUCAUCACAUACAAAAUCUGAAAGGAAACAGUAUUGCUGCGUGUGCGUAUAAGCUUGAUUUGUCCAAGGCCUAUGAUCGUGUUGAUUGGGACUUCCUGGAGAAGGCGUUAAACAAAUGGGGGUUCUCAAAUCAAUGGAUUUCUUGGAUUAUGACAUGUGUGAGAUCAGUACCUUAUUCUGUCAAAUUUAAUGGGAAGUUAUUGGAGGUUUUUACACCUUCGAGAGGACUUCGACAAGGUGACCCAUUGUCUCCUUUCUUAUUUCUAUUUGUUGCUGAUGCUCUUUCCGCUCUCCUGCCAAAAUCAGUGAAUGAAGGAAGCUUGAGAGGAGUGACCAUUUGCCAUGGUGCACCGGUGAUAUCUCACCUUUUAUUUGCGGAUGAUACCUUGUUGUUUUUUGAAGCUUCUAGCCAGCAAGCGAACAUUGUUAAAGGUUUAUUGAACACUUAUUGCUCGGCGAUAGGUCAACUUAUUAAUCCCGAGAAGUGUUCCAUCCUUUUCUCUGGAAACUGUAAUGCGUCAGUGGUGGAGGAAAUCAAUAAUAUCUUGGAGGUGCAGCAACAAGUGUUUGAACCAAAAUACCUCGGUUUGCCGGUACCUGAAGGUAGAGUGCAUAAGGGUCAGUUUGAGACCCUUCAGGACAGGCCAAGGAAAAGGCUAAUUGAUUGGAGUGAACAAUAUGUUUCUGUUGGGAACAAGGAGAUCCUCAUCAAGGCUGUGGCACAACCAAUCCCAACAUACGUUAUGAGUGUGUUCUGA
rnacentral:rRNA from 1 species